rnacentral:rRNA from 1 species
GUGCCAGCCGCCGCGGUAAUACGAGGGGAGCUAGCGUUGUCCGGAAUUAUUGGGCGUAAAGGGUGCGUAGGUGUCUUGAUAAGUCCUGAUUGAAAUACUUCGGCUCAACCGGAGAUCUGGUCAGGAAACUGUCAGGAUUGAGUUUUGGAGGGGUGAGCGGAAUUCCUGGUGUAAGCGGUGAAAUGCGUAGAUAUCAGGAGGAACACCGAAAGCGAAGGCAGCUCACUGGGCCAAUACAGACGCUGAGGCACGAAAAGCGUGGGGAGCAAACAGGAUUAGACCCCUGGUAGUC